GAUGAAGAACGCAGCGAAAUGCGAUAAGUAAUGUGAAUUGCAGAAUUCAGUGAAUCAUCGAAUCUUUGAACGCACAUUGCGCCCCUUGGUAUUCCGAGGGGCAUGCCUGUUCGAGCGUCAUUAUAACCCCUCAAGCUCAGCUUGGUGUUGGGGCCUGCUGCACUGGCAGCCCUUAAAAUCAGUGGCGGCGCCAUCUGGCUCUAAGCGUAGUAAUUCUUCUCGCUAUGGAGUCCUGGUGGAUGCUUGCCAUCAACCCCCAAUUUUUCUAUGGUUGACCUCGGAUCAGGUAGGGAUACCCGCUGAACUUAAGCAUAUCAAUAAGCGGAG
rnacentral:misc_RNA from 1 species